UACGGGGGGGGCAAGCGUUGUUCGGAAUUACUGGGCGUAAAGGGCUCGUAGGCGGCCAACUAAGUCAUACGUGAAAUCCCCCGGCUUAACCGGGGAACUGCGUCUGAUACUGGAUGGCUUGAGUUCGGGAGAGGGAUGCGGAAUUCCAGGUGUAGCGGUGAAAUGCGUAGAUAUCUGGAGGAACACCGGUGGCGAAGGCGGCAUCCUGGACCGAUACUGACGCUGAGGAGCGAAAGCCAGGGGAGCAAACGGG
rnacentral:rRNA from 1 species